AAGUCGUAACAAGGUUUCCGUAGGUGAACCUGCGGAAGGAUCAUUAUAGAAAAUUAAGAUUGGUGUUUUAAAGGCAACGCGAAUUACUUUCAACCCUAUGUUUACCUAUUCUCUUAUUUCUUUGGCAGAUAUAUAGAGCCUGUUCUAAGACAGUUCUGCUGCUUAAAACAGAGUAUUCUUAAUCUGUCAGAGGGACAAGUCUUAAAUAAACCAUGAAAUACAUGCUGUCUGAGUUACAAUAUUAAAUUAUUUAAAAACUUUCAACAACGGAUCUCUUGGUUCUGGCAUCGAUGAAGAACGCAGCAAAAUGCGAUAAGUAAUGUGAAUUGCAGAAUUUAGUGAAUCAUCGAAUCUUUGAACGCACAUUGCGCCCUUUGGUAUUCCAAAGGGCAUGCCUGUUUGAGCGUCAUUACAUACUUCAAGUACUGUUAUUGUGCUUGGUUUUGGCUAUAAAGAUUGAUCUUUAAGAAUGUCUUUUAAGCUUAAAUGUUACAUCAAGAAGCCUGUUUAUCAGUUAGACGUACCAAGUUAAUAUUAUAUUACCUGUCAACUGUAAUAGUUCCUACUUGCCCAUUAUAACUAUUAUAAAAAUUUUGACCUCAGAUCAGGUAGGGAUACCCGCUGAACUUAAGCAUAUCAAUAAGCGGAGGAAAAGAAACCAACAGGGAUUGCCUCAGUAACGGCGAGUGAAGCGGCAACAGCUCAAAUUUGAAAUCCGGCUAUAGGGCCUGAAUUGUAAUUUGUAGAGGAUGCUUUGGUCUGACUACUAGUUUAAGUUCCUUGGAACAGGAUGUCAUAGAGGGUGAGAAUCCCGUAUGUGACUAGAUUAGUUCUGACUAUGUAAAGCUCCUUCAAUGAGUCAAGUUGUUUGGGAAUGCAGCUUAAAAUGGGUGGUAAAUUUCAUCUAAAGCUAAAUACUGGCCAGAGACCGAUAGCGCACAAGUAGAGUGAUCGAAAGAUGAAAAGCACUUUGGAAAGAGAGUUAAACAGUACGUGAAAUUGUUGAAAGGGAAGCGCUUGCAAUCAGACUUGUCCACUUGUGAUCCGCCUGCAUUUUUGCAGGUUCAUUCACAAGUGAUCAGGCUAACAUUGAUUUGAGUGGCUGGAUAAAGACCUAAAGAAUUCAGCUCCUCUAGGGGAGUGUUGCUUAGCUUUUGGUGCAGUGCAGCCUAUUUGGAUCAAGGACCGCGCAUUUAUGCUAGGAUGUUGGCAUAAUGGUUGUAAGCGACC
rnacentral:rRNA from 1 species